GAUGAACGCUAGCUACAGGCUUAACACAUGCAAGUCGAGGGGCAUCAGGAAGAAAGCUUGCUUUCUUUGCUGGCGACCGGCGCACGGGUGGGUAACACGUAUCCAACCUGCCCUUUACUCGGGGAUAGCCUUUCGAAAGAAAGAUUAAUACCCGAUGGCAUAAUGAUUCCGCAUGGUUUCAUUAUUAAAGGAUUCCGGUAAAGGAUGGGGAUGCGUUCCAUUAGGUUGUUGGUGAGGUAACGGCUCACCAAGCCUUCGAUGGAUAGGGGUUCUGAGAGGAAGGUCCCCCACAUUGGAACUGAGACACGGUCCAAACUCCUACGGGAGGCAGCAGUGAGGAAUAUUGGUCAAUGGGCGCUAGCCUGAACCAGCCAAGUAGCGUGAAGGAUGAAGGCUCUAUGGGUCGUAAACUUCUUUUAUAUAAGAAUAAAGUGCAGUAUGUAUACUGUUUUGUAUGUAUUAUAUGAAUAAGGAUCGGCUAACUCCGUGCCAGCAGCCGCGGUAAUACGGAGGAUCCGAGCGUUAUCCGGAUUUAUUGGGUUUAAAGGGAGCGUAGGUGGACUGGUAAGUCAGUUGUGAAAGUUUGCGGCUCAACCGUAAAAUUGCAGUUGAUACUGUCAGUCUUGAGUACAGUAGAGGUGGGCGGAAUUCGUGGUGUAGCGGUGAAAUGCUUAGAUAUCACGAAGAACUCCGAUUGCGAAGGCAGCUCACUGGACUGCAACUGACACUGAUGCUCGAAAGUGUGGGUAUCAAACAGGAUUAGAUACCCUGGUAGUCCACACAGUAAACGAUGAAUACUCGCUGUUUGCGAUAUACAGUAAGCGGCCAAGCGAAAGCAUUAAGUAUUCCACCUGGGGAGUACGCCGGCAACGGUGAAACUCAAAGGAAUUGACGGGGGCCCGCACAAGCGGAGGAACAUGUGGUUUAAUUCGAUGAUACGCGAGGAACCUUACCCGGGCUUAAAUUGCAGUGGAAUGAUGUGGAAACAUGUCAGUGAGCAAUCACCGCUGUGAAGGUGCUGCAUGGUUGUCGUCAGCUCGUGCCGUGAGGUGUCGGCUUAAGUGCCAUAACGAGCGCAACCCUUAUCUUUAGUUACUAACAGGUUAUGCUGAGGACUCUAGAGAGACUGCCGUCGUAAGAUGUGAGGAAGGUGGGGAUGACGUCAAAUCAGCACGGCCCUUACGUCCGGGGCUACACACGUGUUACAAUGGGGGGUACAGAAGGCAGCUAGCGGGUGACCGUAUGCUAAUCCCAAAAGCCUCUCUCAGUUCGGAUCGAAGUCUGCAACCCGACUUCGUGAAGCUGGAUUCGCUAGUAAUCGCGCAUCAGCCACGGCGCGGUGAAUACGUUCCCGGGCCUUGUACACACCGCCCGUCAAGCCAUGGGAGCCGGGGGUACCUGAAGUACGUAACCGCAAGGAUCGUCCUAGGGUA
rnacentral:rRNA from 1 species